ensembl:lncRNA
UUCCUAGCAACAAUGUCAUCAUAGCAGUUGUGAAACAGUAGGUUACCUCUGCUGAUUGCAGAUUUUUUAAAGCUCAGCAUGCAGGCUCUUGUUCAUUGCUUGUGUAAAUAGACAGCUAAUGGUGUUGAAAAAUAAUAUUUUGUAGCUGAGAAUUUGCUCUAUCAUGUAGUGUUAUUGUGUUCAUUGUAUCUGUUGAAGUUUCCAUGAAAAUAUAUAGGAGGAAUUACUUUGAGAGCAACCUACUUAACUUUGUAUAUCUUCUGUGAAUGAGCAGAGAAUUUCAGUAUUCAGGGUAACACCUUUUGAAAUGACAUGCAUAUGGAAUCACUUUAAAACAGCUGAAAACCUAAUAACAGGUGUGAGUUUGACAGUAACUCCUACAAAAUUGCAAUGUUUUUCACUGCAUGGGAGGCAAAACUAAAUGAGAUGGAUGUUGUUAGCAUCUGGUAAUCAUGGUAACAAUUUUUUUAGAUGGUCCAAUGUCAUUUAUGGCACUCUGAGUGAGACCUAUCGCUGUAACUGAUGGUGCCCUGCCAUUGAAUGGUAGCAUCUCAGUCUGCUCUUUUGUAAUAGAGCAAUAUGGAGGAUGCCUGUUUUUGCAACAUUAAGAGGGAAAAGGAGCCAGGUAUCUUUUUCAGCCAUUACACCAGAAGUGGUUCAAUGCAAAUACCUGCAGCCACAUGCUAAAGACCUGCUAUUUGGAAAAGAACUACCUUCCCCCCUCCCCCCCCCCCCCCACAGUGAAAGUAAUUGACGAGAAUAGAAUAGAUUCCUUGAAUUCAAUUUUCUGCCUCCAGUUAAGUCUGGGAAAAAACACUAUUCUGUUCCUAUGUGUCCUAUGGUCACCUUGUCCUUGCUCUUACACUCUGUAUGAAAAUUUUGCUGAAUGCAUGACAUAAUAGCAUAUGUUCUCUAGUGCUGAAAUCCAAUGUUGAUUUGAGGCAGAAUAGAUGUGGGUUACUUGCAUAGAUUGCUUUCAUUCUUCAAGUUCUCCAAGAAUUUCCAUCAGUGCUGUACUAAGUAUCUUCUGGGAUAGUUUGGUCCUGUGUGAAGCCCCCUUCUAUAUCAGAUUUUCUUAGACUGCGGAGUAUCCACUUCUUCUUUGUUUGUUUGCUUGCUUGGUUUGUUUUCAUGCAGUGUCUUUUGCGGUAACAUUAAGUUCCAUGACACAUGUCACUGAAAUAUGAAUAGGGAAGAUGAUGUUACUUAAAAGGAAUGUAGCGGUAGGAGUGUUCCAGUUUUGUUUUGAAGAUGAGGCCCUUCAUAAUGUUUUAGUGAACAUCAGUGCUUCAAGUCCAGAAGGGCAAGAGGAGAUGAGGUUAUAGAACAAACAGCUGCAGUGCUGCUCCUGGAGAGAGAUGUGGGAGAGCUGUAGUUGCUAUAUGGAGAUAAAAGGGAACAAAAGUGAACUUUAUUCAAGGAAGCAAAAAAGAUAAGAAUGCAGAGAUUCUAAUGUGCUGAGUUUAAAACAAACAUUCAAAAGCAAAUGAGAAAGACUCCUGUAAUCUUACACUGUUUCUACAUUGUUGCUAAUUAACAGGCUUUGCUGGUCUUAACUGGCUCUUCGGAAGUAUUAUAAGCAAGAGAAACGUGUUUGCUUCUGAUCUUUCUCCUAGAUCUUCUGUAAAGGAAGUUAUAUCCCACUUAGUACUGAGUAGUAAAAUACUUAAUGGUACAACUGAAAUACUGUUCCAUUUUAUACUAGAAUGGAAUGCAUUUUUAUUCAUUAAUUUAUUCUUCAUGCAUUUUUUCAUCUCCAAAUCUUUUUACAAUGGAAAUAAGGAAAUAUGGUACCUUUUCUGAAAUGUUUAUAAUGUGUUACCUGUAUCUAUAUCAGCAGUAAAUCCUAAUAA